CUGAAAUGGCCGGCUACGUACUCUGUCGAAGCAACAAAAUAUUAUAUGUCAUCUGGUUUGAUCGAAAACUUUAAAUACUGGAGAUCAUCUACGAAGUCGCGCUUGGAAGCCAAUAAUGGGGCAGCAAUUAAAAUCACAAUAGGUUCUAGAAAGGGCAGAGGAAAAUACGAGAUUCAUCCUGAGACAACAGAGGAAGAGACCAACAAUAUGGUUUGUACUAAAUACGAGCCAAUGGCUUUUAGACCAGAAGAUUUUUUACCCGCAAUACGUGAUCUCAGUG